ACGUCCUACGGGAGGCAGCAGUCGGGGAAUAUUUGCACAAUGGGCGCAAGCCUGAUGCAGCCAUGCCGCGUGUGUGAAGAAGGCCUUCGGGUUGUAAAGCACUUUCAGUCGUGAGGAAGGUAGUGUAGUUAAUAGCUGCAUUAUUUGACGUUAGCGACAGAAGAAGCAACCGGCUAACUCCGUGCCAGCAGCCAGCGGUAAUACGGAGGGUGCGAGCGUUAA
rnacentral:rRNA from 1 species